rnacentral:lncRNA from 1 species
AAUAUUAAAAAAUAACAUGCGUUUGACAUUUUAAUUUACAAAAGAUCAAUUUACUUUCUUACUUUUUCUCUCUUAAAAUAUCUUUCAUGUCACAAGAAUAAAGUGAGACCCAAAAGAUCCAUUUACUUUCUUACUUUUUCUCUCUUAAAAUAUCUCUCAUAUCACAAGAAUAAAAUGAGACCCUGAUGUUAGAGAGAAGAUAUGCUGAGGAGCCCAAAGAAUUUGGGUAUGGUUCUUAAGGGGAGAUUAUAGAAAUUCAUAAGAAAUCCUAAAUUUUCGAGGGAAACAAGAUCUCUCUUUUAUAAUGUUAAAAAAUAAUCUCUAAAAAAGAAUACGUAUAUCUAGAGAGAGAUUCUAUAUUAUAGGUCUAUAUCUAAACAGAUAGAGAGACAACUCUAAAGAGAGAGACUUUCUAGAAAUAUUGUCGGUAGAGAUAUAGAAAUAAAGCCAAGAGAAAUCCUAAAUUUUAGAGAGAGGCACCGAUUCUUUUUUGUUUCUUUUUUGUAUCCUCGAGAAAGAGAUAGAAAAGGGAAGGAUAUACAAGCACUUUCUUAAAAUAUUGCAUGCAAUAUUCCAGGGGAAUAUCAGACAAUUGUUCUUUGUUAACUUAUCUUUUGGUGAAUUACGUAAUUUAGAAUAGGCCUGUCCACAGGGGUAUACCUCGUGUAUUAGUUAAGUCUCAUUAGGAUUAGUAUGGAUUUUUUUUUUUGUAAUGUGUAAUAGAGACUAGUCGAAUAUGUGCGUUGCACGUAAAAUUGAUUGGUAGAAGAGUGACCAAAUAUUCAAUGACUUAUUAGGCAAUACUUUGAUGUUAGAUAUCUAUUAGGGGACAGUUGCGUGAUAAUGUGAUAUUAGAGAUCUAGUAGGCGACAGUUGCCUGAUAAUGUGAUGUUAGAGAUCUAUUUGGCGACAGUUUAAUGUAGAACUGUAUGAGACAAAGAGUUGAAAAACUACUUUUAUGGGAAAAAAAACUUCUCUACGAAUAUACUAUUCGAAAAUCUUUAAGAAAUAUGUUAAUGUGCCAAG